rnacentral:rRNA from 1 species
GAUGAACGCUGGCGGCGUGCCUAAUACAUGCAAGUAGAACGCUGAAGCUUGGUGCUUGCACCGAGCGGAUGAGUUGCGAACGGGUGAGUAACGCGUAGGUAACCUGCCUCUUAGCGGGGGAUAACUAUUGGAAACGAUAGCUAAUACCGCAUAAAAGUCGAUAUCGCAUGAUAUUGAUUUGAAAGGUGCAAUUGCAUCACUAAGAGAUGGACCUGCGUUGUAUUAGCUAGUUGGUGAGGUAACGGCUCACCAAGGCAACGAUACAUAGCCGACCUGAGAGGGUGAUCGGCCACACUGGGACUGAGACACGGCCCAGACUCCUACGGGAGGCAGCAGUAGGGAAUCUUCGGCAAUGGGGGCAACCCUGACCGAGCAACGCCGCGUGAGUGAAGAAGGUUUUCGGAUCGUAAAGCUCUGUUGUAAGAGAAGAACGAGUGUGAGAGUGGAAAGUUCACGCUGUGACGGUAUCUUACCAGAAAGGGACGGCUAACUACGUGCCAGCCGCCGCCGUAACAC